rnacentral:tRNA from 1 species
UAGGCCAAUGCUCGCUGGCUUGGGCAGUUAGUUGUUAACUANUUUUUUACGGGAUCGAGGCCCGCUGGUCUA